AUCUGACCGUAUAUCAGACUGGUUUGCACGUUUAAGGUAGUUAAAGAAUAUGCGUGUUGCCGACAGACACGAAGCAGGCAAGAAAACGGUGAACAGGAAGCUGCAAAACCAGCAUUUCGCUCCACCAAGUGAAGCAGUCUGGAGUGGGACCUUGGAGGGAUCCAUCUGGGCAGAGUUAUAUUUGAUAUUGGGAGCAGAGGAAAACCCUGGGCGGUGAGCCCCACUGCAGAGGGCACAGUGAUCAUCACCACACACUUCUGUGAAGACAAUUUUCAGGGGAUGUUCUCACGCCAACGAGCUGGAUGCUUAGCAUUGAGGGACAAGUGGUCGUGGGUCCACACCAGAACAUUGUGGCUGGCAUGGCAGUGUUUUUCUCGUGCUAUUACGUCUUCAAUCUGGUGCACCAAGAGGAGGCCUCGAGCGCACUGGGAUUCAUCCAAAGAUGCUUCGUCGGGAUCAACCCAACCUCUGGCACAAAGAUGACAAAGUGGAUCAGUCCAAGAAGUGGGAAGGUGCACGAAAAGAGUAGCAACAGUGUCAGCCCUCAUGUCUCUGCACUCAAAAGACUAAUGGACUAUGAAUGGCUUUGAGCCUGUCGCAAAAGUAAGGACAAUGGCACACGGUAUUUCUUUAACAAAAGUGGUUUCAAAAUAAGGUUAGUUUUUACAUGUUACACGUUUGACAUUGUUGCUACAAAUUUGAGUUGAAUAUGAGUGACUUUGCUGCAGUAGUCUUGUGCAGUCUGUCCAGUGUUUAUGCUUUCCAUGCAUGUGCCUAUUGGCUCAUAAAAAGGAAAGUCACUUUAAGUUUCAUACU